UACCCGCAGCACAAGUGGUGGUCAUUAUUAUUGGGCCUAAAGCGUCCGUAGCUGGCUUGUUAGAUGCCUGGGUAAAUCGAUGCGCUUAACGCAUCGAAUUCCGGGUAGACCGGCAAGCUCGAGACUGGGAGAGGUGUAGGCUACUCGGGGGGUAGGGGUAAAAUCCUGUAAUCCUCCGGGGAGGACCAGUGGCGAAGGCGCUACACUAGAACGGCUCUGACAGUGAGGGACGAAGCCCUGGGGCGCAAACCGG
rnacentral:rRNA from 1 species